rnacentral:rRNA from 1 species
UACGAAGGGUGCAAGCGUUACUCGGAAUUACUGGGCGUAAAGGGUGCGUAGGUGGUCGUUUAAGUCCGUUGUGAAAAUCCCUGGGCUCAACCUGGGAAUGGCAGUGGAUACUGGACGGCUAGAAUGCGGUAGAGGGUAGUGGAAUUCCCGGUGUAGCAGUGAAAUGCGUAGAGAUCGGGAGGAACACCAGUGGCGAAGGCGGCUCACUGGACCAUUACUGACGCUGAGGCACGAAAGCUAGGGGAGCAAACAGG